AUUGAACGCUGGCGGCCGGCCUAACACAUGCAAGUCGAACGAGUGGCGGACGGGUGAGUAAUGUCUGGGAAACUGCCUGAUGGAGGGGGAUAACUACUGUAAACCGUAGCUAAUACUGCAUACCAUCAGAUGUGCCCAGAUGGGAUUAGCUAGGUGGUGGGGUAACGGCUCUCCAAGGCGACGAUCCCUAGAUGGUCUGAGAGGAUGACCAGCGAGACGGGAACGGAGACACGGUCGAGACUCCUACGGGAGGCAUCGGUGGAGAAUAUUGCACAAUGGGCGCAAGCCUGAUGCAGCAAUGCCGCGUGUAUGAAGAAGGCCUUCGGGUUGUAAAGUAAUUUCAGCUGGGAGGCGUUACCCGCAGAAGAAGCACCGGCUAACUCCGUGCCAGCAGCCGCGGUAAUAC
rnacentral:rRNA from 1 species